AGUGGCGAACGGGUGAGUAACACGUGAAUAAUCUGCCCUGUACGAUGGGAUAACAGCUGGAAACGGCUGCUAAUACCGUAUAUGACCACGCCGAGGCAUCUCGGAGGGGUGAAAGCGCUUAAGCGGUACAGGAUGAGUUCGCGUCCAAUUAGCUAGUUGGUGAGGUAACGGCCCACCAAGGCGACGAUUGGUAGCCGACCUGAGAGGGUGAUCGGCCACACUGGAACUGAGACACGGUCCAGACUCCUACGGGAGGCAGCAGGUGGGGAGUAGUUGGGCAAUGGAAGGAAACUCUUACCCAAGCAAUGCCGCGUGAGUGAUGGAAGGUCUUCGGAUUAGUAAAGCUUCUUUGAUUGGGGACGAAUAAAUGACGGUACCCAAGGAACAAGCCCCGGCUAACUAUGUGCCAGCCGCCGC
rnacentral:rRNA from 1 species